GGCGACGUAGCCAAGUGGUAAGGCGAAGGUCUGCAAAACCUUUACUCAGGGGUUCGAUUCCCCUCGUCGCCUCCA
rnacentral:tRNA from 1 species